CACCGCCCGUCGCUACUACCGAUUGAAUGGUUUAGUGAGGUCCUCCGAUUGGACCCGGUCCGGGCGGCGACGUCCGAGCCGGCGUCCGAGAAGACGAUCUAACUUGAUCAUUUAGAGGAAGU
rnacentral:ncRNA from 1 species